rnacentral:rRNA from 1 species
AGGGGCAGCAUGGUCUUAGCUUGCUAAGGCCGAUGGCGACCGGCGCACGGGUGAGUAACACGUAUCCAACCUGCCGUCUACUCUUGGACAGCCUUCUGAAAGGAAGAUUAAUACAAGAUGGCAUCAUGAGUCCGCAUGUUCACAUGAUUAAAGGUAUUCCGGUAGACGAUGGGGAUGCGUUCCAUUAGAUAGUAGGCGGGGUAACGGCCCACCUAGUCUUCGAUGGAUAGGGGUUCUGAGAGGAAGGUCCCCCACAUUGGAACUGAGACACGGUCCAAACUCCUACGGGAGGCAGCAGUGAGGAAUAUUGGUCAAUGGGCGAGAGCCUGAACCAGCCAAGUAGCGUGAAGGAUGACUGCCCUAUGGGUUGUAAACUUCUUUUAUAAAGGAAUAAAGUCGGGUAUGGAUACCCGUUUGCAUGUACUUUAUGAAUAAGGAUCGGCUAACUCCGUGCCAGCAGCCGCGGUAAUACGGAGGAUCCGAGCGUUAUCCGAAUUUAUUGGGUUUAAAGGGAGCGUAGAUGGAUGUUUAAGUCAGUUGUGAAAGUUUGCGGCUCAACCGUAAAAUUGCAGUUGAUACUGGAUAUCUUGAGUGCAGUUGAGGCAGGCGGAAUUCGUGGUGUAGCGGUGAAAUGCUUAGAUAUCACGAAGAACUCCGAUUGCGAAGGCAGCCUGCUAAGCUGCAACU